rnacentral:lncRNA from 1 species
AUAUAUUAUAUCUAUCAUAAAUUAGGAUUUUCAGUUAUAAGUCUUUAUUUUAUAUUUAAGAGCAAUUGCUCCUCUAUGAAUAAUAUUAGGAACAGUGUUUCUGACAUGGUAUCAGUGCUCUAAAAUCCUUGAAAGCAUGUAUAAUCUCAUGUGCAACCAGCACUGGUGCAAAACCAAACCCUUUUCUUUCUUCUACUGUAUUCUUCCACACAGCUUGCAUUGCAGCAACUCCACAACCUUUCCUUUCUUCCACUGUAUUCCUUCUAGGCUUGCAUUGCAGCAACUCCACAACCUUUCCUUUCUUCCACUGUAUUCCUUCUAGGCUUGCAUUGCCAUACUUCAAACCUAAAAAAUGUCCGAUACUCAAAAUUUUAGCCACCACUAAGCUUGUGAACAAAAGUCAAAUUGAAAGAUAAUUUGGGAACAUGCAAAACAUCCUUCAGAAUUAUAUUCUCAUUUAUCACAAUAUCUCCUUUUCUAAUAACUGUAAUGAAAGUCCCAUUUGCAAGUGUAAUUUUUUUGUUGCUUGGGCAAUGUCCAUAAGAUAUAAACCGAUUAAAUGAUUGAGUCUUGUGGUCUGUGGCUCCACAGUAAACUACCAAGACACCUUAUUGAAAUGAAUUUAAGGCAUUGAGUGCACAAAAGUAAGGAAUAUUACCUAAGAAUAGUAAGGAGCAAUUACCUGAGUAUACAAAUUUUGUUAAUGUGUCCAGAAAACCCCUUAAUCUUAGAAUUUCUUGUGUUGGAUUUACACUAUCUGGUGUUUUUUAAUCCUACAACUUGCCAGUUUCAGGAUUAGAGAACGGGGAAGAUGAUUGGACUUGAUAAGGGGCUCUACCUUCUAGAGGACGCUAACAAGAUGCCUAGUACUAAUAUGAAAUUCCUUUUUCUUUGAUGUCAGAAACAACUCUCUCCAAUAAAGAAAAGUCUAGUUAUAUCACCUUUGUUUAAGUCAUUCAUCCUUCAAUACCAUAGAAAUUAUGUUUCCUAAUUUAUUUCAGAAAGUGAUACCUGUGAAUUUCCGAAGCACAACCAUGUUAACUUUCCCUCUAGUAAUAAAAGAAUGAUUGUUCCCUUUGAAUUAAUACAUAGUGAUGUAUGGAGACCCUCUAGUAUUCCUAACCUAUUCGGGGAUUGUUGGUUUGCAUUAUUCACUCAUGAUUAAGUGUCAUGGGUAUUUGUCUUGAAACAAAAAAGUGAAGUGAGGCAAGUUUUCAAAACUUCAUCCAAAUGAUUAAAAAUCAGUUGGAGACAACCAUUAAUCCAUUAAGAUAAUGCCAAAUAUUUUUUCAACCAAAGAUUGUCCUCCUUCAAUGAAGAGAUAAUUCAUUUAUUUUCUUGUAUGAACACCCCACAACAAAAUGGGGUGGCAUAACAAAAAAUUGGACAUCUCAUAAAUGUAACUCAAGCAUCCUUUCUCCAUAAAAAUGUACCAAAAUAGUAUUGGGAAGCAGUUGUCCUUCCUACUACGUAUUUGGUCAAUUGUUUACCAAACACUAAGGAAUAAAAGUCUCAUUCAACUACUCUCCAAAUUUUUCCCGGACUUUAGGAGAUUAAAUCAUGUUCUACCUCGAGUCAUUGGCUAUGUAUCCUUUGUUCAUGUUCAUUUUAAUCAUAGCAGGAAACCUGAUCCUCUACCUAUUAAGUGCAAUUUAUUGUUUGAUCGCUUAGCCAAAAGGGAUACAAAUGUUACCACACUCCAACAAAAUGAUUCCUUUUGUCCUAUGAUGUCACCUUUGAUAAAAAUACACAACAUUUUCAACCUUAUCUUUAGGGGGAAAGCUCAUGCGUUGAAGAUAAGGAUAAUUCAUUCUUAACAAAAAACUUCAGCACCAUCUAUUGAGUCUAAUAUAUUUCACCGAUCCUGUUGCUUAUCGUAUUCAUUCUCCUUUCAUGUCAAGUCCGAAGAUAACUUAGAAACAAAAAUCAAAGUGUUAUCCAUCGAAUGCAAGAAUACUCAUGAAGGAGAAAGUCUAUUAUCCAAUCAUCACAAGUGCAUGAACAUGAACUUCUACCUAAAAUAUCUAACAUUAAAUAGGAAUAGAAUAUGCCAACCAUUGAUGUUCAGGAUCUACCAAUCACAGUAAGGAAAGGUGUCAGAGCAUGUACUCAAAAGCAUAGGAAUCAAUUGUCACAUUGUUUUUUAUGAUAAACUACCUGGUAAUCACAAAAGCUUUCUUUGUUAUCUAAAUAUUGUCCUUGUUCCAGAAACUACUAAUGAUGUAUUGAUUAGUAAGGACUAGAAAAAUGCUAUGAAGGUUGAAAUGGUUUCUCCAAAAGAGUUCAAUGGUGCUGCAUUUCAGUCAAUUGUUGGCAAUUUGGGAAUGGAUGACAUCCAUUCACCAACUUGAUUUAUGUUCUAAUUAAUAUUUCCUUGUAGUGUUUUAAUUACAUAAUUAGGAGGAUUAAUAAGCUGACAAUAUAUUUCAUAUUUAUUGUAGGGAUAGAUUAUAUCCAUCAUAAAUUAAUAUUUACAGUCCUUAAGUCUUUGUAUUUUGUUGAAGAGCAAUUGCUCCUCUAUGAAUAAUAUCUGAAAACAUAUUUGUCACAUAUUUCAUAAAUUAAAACAGGAAACUGAAAACCCUGAGACCGAGGACAAUGUCGGCAUUAUAACAGAAAAUAAAGGAACCAACAAUGCAAGGAAAACCAGAGCUGAGGAAGCAACAGAUUCAAAAAAAUUGGCUGAUUUCAAGAUGCAUGACCCAGAAAUGAAAGGUAAACAAGUUUUGGAAUUUUAGAAUUGCUUUUAACCCACCAUAACAAACAUCAAUCAUAUAUUCCUACAAGGAAAAUAGAAAAAGGCACGUGACUUUAUGUGCCAGAAAUGUUAUUAGUGUACAUAAAAAUUUAGUAACAAGACUCUUUAGAUAAUAUUAGCAGUUCUAUUGCUGUCACUACUAUAUGUGGAUGUGUAUAUAGUAAGUUUUUGGCAAAUACAGGAGCUUUGUGUGGCACAAUGACUAUAGAACUUUUUGUGGCACUCGAACUAUUUUAUUUCAAGACAGCUUAAACAUGUUUUUGAAUAGUAAAAUAGGUCUUCAUGUUAAAGAUUGCUUACCAUAUCUCAUUUUUAUAAACACAGAUGUGCAAGAUAAUACAGCUCCACAACCAGUAGCAAUUGCAACAGCUUCCAAAACCGAGACAGUUGAUGACAGUAAUAAAGAACAGAUACAGCUAGAAGACAUAAUAGAGAAAAAAUCUAACAAAGAGGAACAAACACUACAAGAUGUUGCUAAGGACACUGUUAAAAUAAACACUAAUAAUUAUACCAAUGAACAUGACAAGGUUCAAAAAUCUCAUGCUGAAGUAAAAGAAUGGAUUGGGGAUGAUGAAAAUUUUGAUCAAGAUGAAGAAACCAAAGAUAUUGAAGAAACAACAAAAAUGCAGUUAGCUGAGCAAAAAGUUCAGAAAAGAUCACUCACUCCUGCCUUUGUUCAAGGAGACACUGAUCAAAUCUCACAGAAAG